UACGUAGGGGGCGAGCGUUGUCCGAAGUUACUGGGCGUAAAGCGCGCGUAGGCGGGCUAUUAAGUUGGAUGUGAAAUCUCCACGGCUCAACCGGGAAACUGCAUCCAAAACUGUUAGUCUUGAGGUAUGGAGAGGGAAGUGGAAUUCCUGGUGUAGCGGUGAAAUGCGUAGAUAUCAGGAGGAACACCCGUGGCGAAGGCGGCUUCCUGGCCAUAUCCUGACGCUGAGGUGCGAAAGCCAGGGGAGCGAACGGG
rnacentral:rRNA from 1 species